rnacentral:rRNA from 1 species
AGAGCGAACGCUGGCGGCAGGCCUAACACAUGCAAGUCGAGCGGCCGUAGCAAUACGGCAGCGGCAGACGGGAGAGUAACACGUGGGAACGCGCCCUUCGGUUCGGAAUAACUCAGGGAAACUUGGGCUAAUACCGGAUACGCCCUUACGGGGAAAGAUUUAUUGCCGAAGGAACGGCCCGCGUCCGAUUAGCUUGUUGGUGAGGUAACGGCUCACCAAGGCGACGAUCGGUAGCUGGUCUGAGAGGAUGACCAGCCUCACUGGGACUGAGACACGGCCCAGACUCCUACGGGAGGCAGCAGUGGGGAAUAUUGGACAAUGGGCGCAAGCCUGAUCCAGCCAUGCCGCGUGGGUGAUGAAGGCCCUAGGGUUGUAAAGCCCUUUCGGCGGGGAAGAUAAUGACGGUACCCGCAGAAGAAGCCCCGGCUAACUUCGCGCCGCAGCCGC